rnacentral:rRNA from 1 species
AUUUGGCCUAAGCGUCCGUAGCCGGCCGAGCAAGUUUUCCGUUAAAUCCAGCGUCUCAAGCGUUGGACCGCGGGAGAUACUACACGGCUAGAGAGUGGGAGAGGUCAGCGGUAUUCUGGGGGUAGGGGCGAAAUCCUUUGAUCCCCGGAGGACCACCAGUGGCGAAGGCUGCUGACUAGAACACGUCUGACGGUCAGGGACGAAAGCUGGGGUAGCGAACCGGAUUAGAUACCCGGGUAGUCCCAGCCGUAAACGAUGCAUGCUAGGUGUUGGGUUGCAGACACCCCAGUGCCGCAGGGAAGCCGUUAAGCAUGCCGCCUGGGAAGUACGAUCGCAAGAUUGAAACUUAAAGGAAUUGGCGGGGGAGCAC